GACAGAGGGUGCAAACGUUGCUCGGAAUCACUGGGCGUAAAGGGCGUGUAGGCGGGUAGGCAAGUCGGGCGUGAAAUCCCUGAGCUCAACUCAGGAACUGCACUCGAAACUGCUUAUCUUGAGUGCCGGAGAGGAAAGCGGAAUACCUGGUGUAGAGGUGAAAUUCGUAGAUAUCAAGAGGAACACCAGUGGCGAAGGCGAAGUCCCUGGACAACACCUGACACUGAGGCACGAAAAGCCGGGGGAGCAAACAGGAUUAGGAUACCC
rnacentral:rRNA from 1 species